AUCUGCGAUAAGCGCCGGUAAGGUGAUAUGAACCGUUAUAACCGGCGAUACCCGAAUGGGGAAACCCAGUGUGACUCGUCACACUAUCAUUAACUGAAUCCAUAGGUUAAUGAGGCGAACCGGGGGAACUGAAACAUCUAAGUACCCCGAGGAAAAGAAAUCAACCGAGAUUCCCCCAGUAGCGGCGAGCGAACGGGGAGGAGCCCAGAGCCUGAAUCAGCAUGUGUGUUAGUGGAAGCGUCUGGAAAGGCGCGCGAUACAGGGUGACAGCCCCGUACACAAAAGCGCAUGUGCUGUGAGCUCGAUGAGUAGGGCGGGACACGUGGUAUCCUGUCUGAAUAUGGGGGGACCAUCCUCCAAGGCUAAAUACUCCUGACUGACCGAUAGUGAACCAGUACCGUGAGGGAAAGGCGAAAAGAACCCCGGCGAGGGGAGUGAAAAAGAACCUGAAACCGUGUACGUACAAGCAGUGGGAGCACCCUUUGGGUGUGACUGCGUACCUUUUGUAUAAUGGGUCAGCGACUUAUAUUCUGUAGCAAGGUUAACCGAAUAGGGGAGCCGGAGGGAAACCGAGUCUUAACCGGGCGUUAAGUUGCAGGGUAUAGACCCGAAACCCGGUGAUCUAGCCAUGGGCAGGUUGAAGGUUGGGUAACACUAACUGGAGGACCGAACCGACUAAUGUUGAAAAAUUAGCGGAUGACCUGUGGCUGGGGGUGAAAGGCCAAUCAAACCGGGAGAUAGCUGGUUCUCCCCGAAAGCUAUUUAGGUAGCGCCUCGUGAAUUCAUCUCCGGGGGUAGAGCACUGUUUCGGCUAGGGGGCCAUCCCGGCUUACCAACCCGAUGCAAACUGCGAAUACCGGAGAAUGUUAUCACGGGAGACACACGGCGGGUGCUAACGUCCGUCGUGAAGAGGGAAACAACCCAGACCGCCAGCUAAGGUCCCAAAGUCAUGGUUAAGUGGGAAACGAUGUGGGAAGGCCCAGACAGCCAGGAUGUUGGCUUAGAAGCAGCCAUCAUUUAAAGAAAGCGUAAUAGCUCACUGGUCGAGUCGGCCUGCGCGGAAGAUGUAACGGGGCUAAACCAUGCACCGAAGCUGCGGCAGCGACACUGUGUGUUGUUGGGUAGGGGAGCGUUCUGUAAGCCUGUGAAGGUGUGUCGUGAGGCAUGCUGGAGGUAUCAGAAGUGCGAAUGCUGACAUAAGUAACGAUAAAGCGGGUGAAAAGCCCGCUCGCCGGAAGACCAAGGGUUCCUGUCCAACGUUAAUCGGGGCAGGGUGAGUCGACCCCUAAGGCGAGGCCGAAAGGCGUAGUCGAUGGGAAACGGGUUAAUAUUCCCGUACUUGGUGUUACUGCGAAGGGGGGACGGAGAAGGCUAUGUUGGCCGGGCGACGGUUGUCCCGGUUUAAGCGUGUAGGUGUGUGUUCCAGGUAAAUCCGGUUCACUUUAACACUGAGGCGUGACGACGAGGCACUACGGUGCUGAAGCAACAAAUGCCCUGCUUCCAGGAAAAGCCUCUAAGCAUCAGGUAACAUCAAAUCGUACCCCAAACCGACACAGGUGGUCAGGUAGAGAAUACCAAGGCGCUUGAGAGAACUCGGGUGAAGGAACUAGGCAAAAUGGUGCCGUAACUUCGGGAGAAGGCACGCUGACACGUAGGUGAAGUGAUUUACUCAUGGAGCUGAAGUCAGUCGAAGAUACCAGCUGGCUGCAACUGUUUAUUAAAAACACAGCACUGUGCAAACACGAAAGUGGACGUAUACGGUGUGACGCCUGCCCGGUGCCGGAAGGUUAAUUGAUGGGGUCAGCGCAAGCGAAGCUCCUGAUCGAAGCCCCGGUAAACGGCGGCCGUAACUAUAACGGUCCUAAGGUAGCGAAAUUCCUUGUCGGGUAAGUUCCGACCUGCACGAAUGGCGUAAUGAUGGCCAGGCUGUCUCCACCCGAGACUCAGUGAAAUUGAACUCGCUGUGAAGAUGCAGUGUACCCGCGGCAAGACGGAAAGACCCCGUGAACCUUUACUAUAGCUUGACACUGAACAUUGAGCCUUGAUGUGUAGGAUAGGUGGGAGGCUUUGAAGUGUGGACGCCAGUCUGCAUGGAGCCGACCUUGAAAUACCACCCUUUAAUGUUUGAUGUUCUAACGUGGACCCGUUACCCGGGUUGCGGACAGUGUCUGGUGGGUAGUUUGACUGGGGCGGUCUCCUCCUAAAGAGUAACGGAGGAGCACGAAGGUUGGCUAAUCCUGGUCGGACAUCAGGAGGUUAGUGCAAUGGCAUAAGCCAGCUUGACUGCGAGCGUGACGGCGCGAGCAGGUGCGAAAGCAGGUCAUAGUGAUCCGGUGGUUCUGAAUGGAAGGGCCAUCGCUCAACGGAUAAAAGGUACUCCGGGGAUAACAGGCUGAUACCGCCCAAGAGUUCAUAUCGACGGCGGUGUUUGGCACCUCGAUGUCGGCUCAUCACAUCCUGGGGCUGAAGUAGGUCCCAAGGGUAUGGCUGUUCGCCAUUUAAAGUGGUACGCGAGCUGGGUUUAGAACGUCGUGAGACAGUUCGGUCCCUAUCUGCCGUGGGCGCUGGAGAACUGAGGGGGGCUGCUCCUAGUACGAGAGGACCGGAGUGGACGCAUCACUGGUGUUCGGGUUGUCAUGCCAAUGGCACUGCCCGGUAGCUAAAUGCGGAAGAGAUAAGUGCUGAAAGCAUCUAAGCACGAAACUUGCCCCGAG
rnacentral:rRNA from 1 species